AAAGCUCAAAUUUAAAAUCUGGCGGUCAUUGGCCGUCCGAGUUGUAAUUUAGAGAAGCGUCUUCCGCGCCGGACCGUGCACAAGUCUCCUGGAAUGGAGCGUCAUAGAGGGUGAGAAUCCCGUCUUUGGCACGGACGCCUGGUGCUUCUGUGAUGCGCUCUCGAAGAGUCGAGUUGUUUGGGAAUGCAGCUCAAAAUGGGUGGUGAACUCCAUCUAAAGCUAAAUAUUGGCGAGAGACCGAUAGCGAA
rnacentral:rRNA from 1 species